GAGAUAUGAUGAGUGGUCUAGUCUCGUAUAUGCGAGUCGGGUCUCUGCCCCAAGCCUGGUUACGACAAUUGGGCACUCUCCUUUGACCAAUCUGGUCUU